rnacentral:lncRNA from 1 species
GAGGGGGCUGAACAGGGCCCUGCACUCCCCUUGGCCCAGGGAAGCCCUGCCCUGUCCACCAUCCUGGUGCACUGUCAUUGUCCACUGGGCCCCUGGCUUGCUCAAUGUCUGUGUCUUCCAGCUGGACGGGCAGCCGAGGCAGGACCUUGGUGGCCUCAUCCUCUGCUGUCUCCCAGCGCCUGCCACUCAGCAGAGGCCGUCUGCAACCCACAACUAUUGCUGGGGUAAAAUAGAAAAUUUUCUUGAAAAAUGCAACUUACCAAAACUGGCUUAAGAAGAAACAAUGGAGGGAAGAAUGUUAGCAUGACAGAAUAAUGACUUUCUGGAAGAGGAAGGACAAAGGCCACCAUAGCUCAUAUUAGGAGAAAUGAGAAGUCUUCCAGGAUCCCAGUGGAGAAUGUUCUCCACAAGUGAAACAGUGUGGAGUCCAAGAGAAGGGAAGCCUGCUGGAGUCGAGAGGCCAUUUCCCAGUCCAGCAGCAGCCCCUACCCAGGGCAGUACUCCACUGCACCCCCUUUAAGGUGGGGUGGCUACUGGCCUGCAGCGAGCACUUGUAGAAGUAGAGUGUGACCCUUGAGGGCUCUGUGACUCACUGACCUGA